UUUCACUCAAGAUUGCUGGAGUUAAUACAUGCAGUUUUAUCAGGAAAGCGAAUGAUAAGAUAUCUUAUAGGGUAGAAAUGACCUUAACCUAUUCUCAAACUUUAAAUUGGGAAGACAAGAAUAGUGGCGCAACUCGUCGUGCCUCCUGUGUCACCUGCACCA